GACGAACGCUGGCGGCGUGCCUAAUACAUGCAAGUCGAGCGGACUUUCAAGAAGCUUGCUUUUUGAAAGUUAGCGGCGGACGGGUGAGUAACACGUGGGCAACCUGCCUGCAAGACGGGGAUAACUCCGGGAAACCGGGGCUAAUACCGGAUAAUAUCUUCCUUCGCAUGAAGGAAGGUUGAAAGGCGGCGCAAGCUGCCGCUUGCAGAUGGGCCCGCGGCGCAUUAGCUAGUUGGUGAGGUAACGGCUCACCAAGGCGACGAUGCGUAGCCGACCUGAGAGGGUGAUCGGCCACCCUGGGACUGAGACACGGCCCAGACUCCUACGGGAGGCAGCAGUAGGGAAUCUUCCGCAAUGGACGAAAGUCUGACGGAGCAACGCCGCGUGAGCGAAGAAGGUCUUCGGAUCGUAAAGCUCUGUUGUCAGGGAAGAACAAGUACCGUUCGAACAGGGCGGUACCUUGACGGUACCUGACCAGAAAGCCACGGCUAACUACGUG
rnacentral:rRNA from 1 species